rnacentral:rRNA from 1 species
UAGGGAAUCUUCGGCAAUGGACGGAANNNUGGACCGAGCAACCNCGGCGUGAGUGAAGAAGGUUUUCGGAUCGUAAAGCUCUGUUGUAAGAGAAGAACGAGUGUGAGAGUGGAAAGUUCACACUGUGACGGUAUCUUACCAGAAAGGGACGGCUAACUACGUGCCAGCAGCCGCGGUAAUACGUAGGUCCCGAGCGUUGUCCGGAUUUAUUGGGCGUAAAGCGAGCGCAGGCGGUUAGAUAAGUCUGAAGUUAAAGGCUGUGGCUUAACCAUAGUACGCUUUGGAAACUGUUUAACUUGAGUGCAAGAGGGGAGAGUGGAAUUCCAUGUGUAGCGGUGAAAUGCGUAGAUAUAUGGAGGAACACCGGUGGCGAAAGCGGCUCUCUGGCUUGUAACUGACGCUGAGGCUCGAAAGCGUGGGGAGCAAACAGGAUUAGAUACCCUGGUAGUCCACGCCGUAAACGAUGAGUGCUAGGUGUUAGACCCUUUCCGGGGUUUAGUGCCGCAGCUAACGCAUUAAGCACUCCGCCUGGGGAGUACGACCGCAAGUUG